rnacentral:rRNA from 1 species
ACUCAAAUGAAUUGACGGGGGCCCGCACAAGCGGUGGAGCAUGUGGUUUAAUUCGAUGCAACGCGAAGAACCUUACCUACUUUUGAAUCCCGAGGAUCCUGCAGAGAUGUGGGAGUGCCGCAAGGAACUCGGAGACAGGUGCUGCAUGGCUGUCGUCAGCUCGUGUCGUGAGAUGUUGGGUUAAGUCCCGUAACGAGCGCAACCCUAAUUCUUAGUUGCCAACAGGUAAAGCUGGGGACUCUAAGAAGACUGCCGGUGAUAAACCGGAGGAAGGUUAGGAUGACGUCAAGUCAUCAUGGCCCUUACAAGUAGGGCUACACACGUGCUACAAUGGGUACUACAAAGGGAAGCAAAACUGCGAAGUGGAGCAAAUCCCAUCAAAGGUACUCGCAGUCCGGAUUGGAGUCUGCAACUCGACUCCAUGAAGCUGGAAUCGCUAGUAAUCGUGGAUCAGAACGCCACGGUGAAUACGUUCCCGGGCCUUGCACACACCGCCCGU